CUAUUCUCUGAAUCCCUUCCAGACUUCUUUCGGCCGUGGACGACCCUACUCCGAACUUCUUUCGGACAUCGUCGGCAUUCGAGCUUCUCUAACAACAAGAUUUCUACAGUAACCAGACUCCAUCCAAGUUUCUACGAUGGUCGACCACCUUCCGGAUCUCAACCGAGCUCCCGCAAGAGCCGAACUUCUACUACGAGCGGUCUACUCCAAAUCCUAUAGCGGGCUGUCUACCCC
rnacentral:lncRNA from 1 species